GCCGGAAGCCCCCUGCUCUGUGGGAACCGGAGGGAGGACAGCGCGAGGUCCCCGGACAAAGCGUGGCGCAUAAGUCCGGCCCGUAACUUGGUGGGCAGGCAACUUAGGGGAUGUGGGCCUGGUUAUAGCUGAGCAUGCUUUUCUAUUCCUCCCAGACCACAGUUCUUCAGACCUGGAGCCACUUUCAGAGAAGAGUAUAAGUUGCACUGAAUUGAAAAAGGGAAAAGUUUAGGACUGCAGAAGAUGGAAUUCCUGGGGACGUUAAACUGGGCUAAGAUGGAGCAGAUAAGAUUUCCUUAAUUAGAGCAAGACACACCUAGUAUCUAGAGCCUGGAAGUCUUGGUCAAGGAUUCUCCCUAACAUCUCAGUUUCUCAGCACUAACAUUCCUGCUACUAAAAUGAAGUGAGAAAUUAAUUUCUGAAGUUAAGUAAAGAAAUAAACUAAAAUUCCUAGAAAAGAGGUAAGAAGAAUGAGCCUUUGAAAAAUGUCUUCACAAAGACUGGCAUGAUGGCAUGGAAGAAAGAGCCCCAGAUAUCCAGUAUACAUCUCAAGGUCAACUUGUCCAAAACAGAGCUACUGAUGAUUUUCCCCUUGAAAUCUACUCUUCCUACAGCUUAUUCAUCUCAAAUAGCUGGAGUACAGUGGCAUGAUCAUAUCUCACUGCAACUUCUACCUCCUGGGCUCAAGCAAUCCUCUUACCUCAGCCUCCUGAGUAGCUGGGACUAUAGGUACGUGCCACCAUGCCUGGUCUCCCUCUCUUGCCAAGCCUGGACUGUACUGCCAUGAUCUCAGCUCGCUGCAACCUCCCUGCCUCGAGUUCUGGUGAUUCUCCUGCCUCGGCCUGACAUUCCAGGCAGGCGCCGCCACUCCUGACUGGUUUUUGUAUUUUUGGUGGAGACGGGGUUUCACCGUGUUGACCGGGCUGGUCUCCAGCUCCUGGCCUCGGGUGAUCUGCCCACCUCGGCCUCCCGAGGUGCUGGGAUUGCAGACGGAGUCUCGCUCACUCAAUGCUCAAUGUUGCCCAGGCUGGAGUGCAGUGGCGUGAUCUCAGCUUGCUACAACCUCCACCUCCCAGCCGCCUGCCUUGGCCUCCCAAAGUGCUAAGAUUACAGCCUCUGCCCACCCGCCACCCCGUCUAGGAAGUGAGCAGCGUCUCUGCCUGGCCGCCCAUCGUCUGGGAUGUGAGGAGCACCUUUGCCCGGCCGCCCCGUCUGGGAAGUGAGGAGCGCCUCUGCCCGGCCACCCCGUCUGGGAGGUGAGGAGCAUCUCUGCCCGGCCACCCCGUCUGGGAGGUGAGGAGCGCCUCUGCCCGGCUGCCCAGUCUGGGAAGUGAGGAGCGCCCCUGCCCACCCGCCCAUUGUCUGGGAAGUGAGGAGCACCUCUGCCCAGUCGCCCCGUCUGGGAAGUGAGGAGCGCCUCUGCCCGGCCGCCCCGUCUGGGAUGUGAGGAGCGCCUCUGCCCGGCCGCCCCGUCUGGGAUGUGAGGAGCGCCUCUGCCCAGCCGCCACCCCAUCUGGGAAGUGGGGAGCGCCUCUGCCCGGCCGCCCCAUCUGGGAUGUGAGGAGCGCCUCUGCCUGGCCUCCCCGUCUGGGAGGUGGGGAGCGCCUCUGCCCAGCCGCCCCGUCUGGGAGGUGAGGAGCAUCUCUACCUGGCUGCUCAUCAUCUGGGAUGUGAGGAGCACCUCUGCCCGGCCGCCCCAUCUGGGAAGUGAGGAGCGCCUCUGCCCAGCCACCCUUCGUCUGGGAGGUGAGGAGCGUCUCUGCCUGGCCGCCCAUUGUCUGGGAUGUGAGGAGCGCCUCUGCCCGGCCGCCCCCUCUGGGAAGUGAGGAGUGCCUCUGCCUGGCCGCCCCAUCUGGGAGGUGUACCCAACAGCUCCGAAGAGACAGCGACCAUUGAGAACGGGCCAUGAUGACGAUGGUGGUUUUGUUGAAAAAUAAAGGGGGAAAUGUGGGGAAAAGAAAGAGAGAUCAGAUUGUUACUGUGUCUGUGUAGAAAGAAGUAGACAUAGGAGACUCCAUUUUGUUCUGUACUAAGAAAAAUUCUUCUGCCUUGGGAUGCUGUUAAUCUAUAACCUUACCCCCAACCCCGUGCUCUCUGAAACAUGUGCUGUGUCAACUCAGGGUUAAAUGGAUUAAGGGUGGUGCAAGAUGUGCUUUGUUAAACAGAUGCUUGAAGGCAGCAUGCUCCUUAAGAGUCAUCACCACUCCCUAAUCUCAAGUACCCAGGGACACAAACACUGCGGAAGGCCGCAGGGUCCUCUGCCUAGGAAAACCAGAGACCUUUGUUCACGUGUUUAUCUGCUGACCUUCUCUCCACUAUUAUCCUAUGACCCUGCCACAUCCCCCUCGCCGAGAAACACCCAAGAAUGAUCAAUAAAUACUAAAAAAAAAAAAAAGUUAUUUCUUCUAAUCAAUAUUUCCAAGAGUUUCAACCUCUAAUUUUAAAUCUCUCAGUUUGAUUUCCUCUUUUACUGUCUUUCCUAAGGUGAUUAGCAUUUGUAAUUGCCAGAAGGAAUUAAGUCCCCCAAACCGUAACCUGAUGAAUCACAGAUAGUCAGGUCAAUCACCAGCCUUAUUAAAUAUUCACUUAAAAGUUUAAGUAGUUGUAUUUCAUCACCUAAAAGUUAUAAUUCUACAGUACAAAGGACUUUUUCUUAAAUUAACAUGAAUAACCAGUUAUGUGAUGAUAAAUAAACUUUUUAAGUAAGGAA
rnacentral:lncRNA from 1 species